rfam:TPA: Bos taurus chromosome 5, whole genome shotgun sequence.
UCCCUGGUGGCUCAGACAGGACAGAAUCUGCCUGCAAUGCAGGAGACCUGGGUUCAAAUCCUGGGUUGGGAA